rnacentral:rRNA from 1 species
UAUACAUGCAAGUCGAACGAACUUCCGUUAAUUGAUUAUGACGUACUUGUACUGAUUGAGAUUUUAACACGAAGUGAGUGGCGAACGGGUGAGUAACACGUGGGUAACCUGCCCAGAAGUAGGGGAUAACACCUGGAAACAGAUGCUAAUACCGUAUAACAGAGAAAACCGCAUGGUUUUCUUUUAAAAGAUGGCUCUGCUAUCACUUCUGGAUGGACCCGCGGCGUAUUAGCUAGUUGGUGAGGUAAAGGCUCACCAAGGCAGUGAUACGUAGCCGACCUGAGAGGGUAAUCGGCCACAUUGGGACUGAGACACGGCCCAGACUCCUACGGGAGGCAGCAGUAGGGAAUCUUCCACAAUGGACGAAAGUCUGAUGGAGCAACGCCGCGUGAGUGAAGAAGGGUUUCGGCUCGUAAAGCUCUGUUGUUAAAGAAGAACGUGGGUAAGAGUAACUGUUUACCCAGUGACGGUAUUUAACCAGAAAGCCACGGCUAACUACGUGCCAGCAGCCGCGGUAAUACGUAGGUGGCAAGCGUUAUCCGGAUUUAUUGGGCGUAAAGCGAGCGCAGGCGGUCUUUUAAGUCUAAUGUGAAAGCCUUCGGCUCAACCGAAGAAGUGCAUUGGAAACUGGGAGACUUGAGUGCAGAAGAGGACAGUGGAACUCCAUGUGUAGCGGUGAAAUGCGUAGAUAUAUGGAAGAACACCAGUGGCGAAGGCGGCUGUCUGGUCUGCAACUGACGCUGAGGCUCGAAAGAAAA